rnacentral:rRNA from 1 species
GACGAACGCUGGCGGCGUGCUUAACACAUGCAAGUCGAACGGAAAGGCCCUGCUUUUGUGGGGUGCUCGAGUGGCGAACGGGUGAGUAACACGUGAGUAACCUGCCCUUGACUUUGGGAUAACUUCAGGAAACUGGGGCUAAUACCGGAUAGGAGCUCCUGCUGCAUGGUGGGGGUUGGAAAGUUUCGGCGGUGGGGGAUGGACUCGCGGCUUAUCAGCUUGUUGGUGGGGUAGUGGCUUACCAAGGCUUUGACGGGUAGCCGGCCUGAGGGGGUGACCGGCCACAUUGGGACUGAGAUACGGCCCAGACUCCUACGGGAGGCAGCAGUGGGGAAUAUUGCACAAUGGGCGGAAGCCUGAUGCAGCAACGCCGCGUGCGGGAUGACGGCCUUCGGGUUGUAAACCGCUUUCGCCUGUGACGAAGCGUGAGUGACGGUAAUGGGUAAAGAAGCACCGGCUAACUACGUG